AUAUUAGUAGUUCAGUGGUAGAAUUCUUGUCUUGCAUGCAACAGACCUGGGUUUGAUUCCCAGCUAAUGUA
rnacentral:tRNA from 1 species